rnacentral:rRNA from 1 species
UACGUAGGUGACCAGCGUUGUCCGGAUUUACUGGGCGUAAAGAGCGCGCAGGCGGUCGUUCAAGUCGAGUGUGAAAGCCCCCCGGCUCAACUGGGGAGGGUCAUUCGAUACUGAUCGACUUGAAGGCAGGAGAGGGAAGCGGAAUUCCCGGUGUAGUGGUGAAAUGCGUAGAUAUCGGGAGGAACACCAGUGGCGAAGGCGGCUUCCUGGCCCUGUUCUUGACGCUGAGG